UACGAAGGGUGCAAGCGUUAAUCGGAAUUACUGGGCGUAAAGCGCGCGUAGGCGGUUUGAUAAGUGUGAUGUGAAAUCCCCGGGCUCAACCUGGGAACUGCAUCACAUACUGUCAGGCUAGAGUACGGUAGAGGGGGGUAGAAUUCCACGUGUAGCGGUGAAAUGCGUAGAGAUGUGGAGGAAUACCAGUGGCGAAGGCGGCCCCCUGGAUCGAUACUGACGCUGAGGUGCGAAAGCGUGGGGAGCAAACAGG
rnacentral:rRNA from 1 species